rnacentral:rRNA from 1 species
GACGAACGCUGGCGGCGUGCUUAACACAUGCAAGUCGAACGGAAAGGCCCUGCUUUUGUGGGGUGCUCGAGUGGCGAACGGGUGAGUAACACGUGAGUAACCUGCCCUUGACUUUGGGAUAACUUCAGGAAACUGGGGCUAAUACCGGAUAGGAGCUCCUGCUGCAUGGUGGGGGUUGGAAAGUUUCGGCGGUUGGGGAUGGACUCGCGGCUUAUCAGCUUGUUGGUGGGGUAGUGGCUUACCAAGGCUUUGACGGGUAGCCGGCCUGGGAGGGUGACCGGCCACCUUGGGCCUGAGGUACGGCCCAGACGCCUACGGGAGGCAGCAGUGGGGAAUAUUGCACAAUGGGCGGAAGCCUGAUGCAGCAACGCCGCGUGCGGGAUGACGGCCUUCGGGUUGUAAACCGCUUUCGCCUGUGACGAAGCGUGAGUGACGGUAAUGGGUAAAGAAGCACCGGCUAACUACGUG